rnacentral:rRNA from 2 species
UGUCGUCAGCUCGUGUUGUGAAAUGUUGGGUUAAGUCCCGCAACGAGCGCAACCCUUAUCCUUUGUUGCCAGCGGUCCGGCCGGGAACUCAAAGGAGACUGCCAGUGAUAAACUGGAGGAAGGUGGGGAUGACGUCAAGUCAUCAUGGCCCUUACGACCAGGGCUACACACGUGCUACAAUGGCGCAUACAAAGAGAAGCGACCUCGCGAGAGCAAGCGGACCUCAUAAAGUGCGUCGUAGUCCGGAUUGGAGUCUGCAACUCGACUCCAUGAAGUCGGAAUCGCUAGUAAUCGUGGAUCAGAAUGCCACGGUGAAUACGUUCCCGGGCCUUGUACACACCGCCCGUCACACCAUGGGAGUGGGUUGCAAAAGAAGUAGGUAGCUUAACCUUCGGGAGGGCGCUUACCACUUUGUGAUUCAUGACUGGGGUGAAGUCGUAACAAGGUAACCGUAGGGGAACCUGCGGUUGGAUCACCU